UUGCUUCUCAGUUUCUUUAAGAGGACUUUGAAUGUGCCCAGUUUUGUUAGUCCCUCUUUCACACACAAGACUGAGAUCUGAGUAUUGCGAGGUUUGGUCGUGUAUGAAGCCACCAGUUUAGGCGUGAUUAUUGACUCCUGGCUUUAAGAUCCUCGCUUUUUCUACGUAGAAUUGUAGACUUUGAAGAUAAGGAUGUGCAGCAUCAUAGUCUAUCGAUCGAGAUGCAUGUUUUUAAUUUAGUUGGUAGCAAUGAGACUAAGUGCCCUAGCUAGCUAGCUAGCUAGCUAGGUGCGUGUGCAUUUGUAUACGUACAGAGGCAGGCAUCAUGAGAUGUAACCUAGUUCCUUACAGGAUAAGCUAAUUCGACCUCUCUGAAAGGAUCAAAGCUGCGUUAGGAUACCCGGACGCAGCAAGAUUAACUGCAUGUGGGUGAGAAGAAAGAUAACAUGGCCGCAAGCAUGUGGGCAGAGAAAACUUGGCAAUGAGGACAAGCAAAAGUACCCCCACAAUCUUCAGCUAUGCAAAUGCAUGGUCCUUCAUUCCCAUGUGAUCUUCUAAAUAUUGUACUCGUAUGUAUAGAUACUUGAACAUAUCAAAUGUGAGGGCUAUGGACCAUGGACCAUCGGCCAUGUUACCAUCCCAUCAGAAUGUGACCUCGUUUUGUUUUUUUUUUUUUUUAAAUCCUUCAUUUCGGAUAAUAAUGGAUGGUGGAAAUCUUUUCUAGAGUGU
rnacentral:lncRNA from 1 species